rnacentral:rRNA from 1 species
CACGUAGGGUGCGAGCGUUGUCCGGAAUUAUUGGGCGUAAAGAGCUCGUAGGCGGUGUGUCGCGUCGGCCGUGAAAACCCGCAGCUCAACUGCGGGCUUGCGGUCGAUACGGGCAGGCUGGAGUUCGGUAGGGGAGACUGGAAUUCCUGGUGUAGCGGUGAAAUGCGCAGAUAUCAGGAGGAACACCGGUGGCGAAGGCAGCCUCCUGGGAUAAUACUGACGCUCAUGCACGAAAGCGUGGGGAGCAAACAGG